rnacentral:lncRNA from 1 species
CUACAAUGGAAGGAUCUGCCCACCUCACCACAGCUCACAGACAUCAUGGGUUUUCUUUGAGAAGAGAAGAGAAGAAGAGAAGCAACUAAAAACCACAAUUCACCAGUCCAAGAUAAAAUUCAGCAACAGCCCAAGAGGCACCAGGCAGGCAUGCAAACUGUGCAUACACAAGGAGAGAUCAGCCAGGGGCCUUUCAUGCUUCUGAGACCUUGACUACACCAGCACUGAGGAGAAAUUGCCAGACACAGCU